rnacentral:rRNA from 1 species
UACGUAGGGUGCAAGCGUUGUCCGGAAUUAUUGGGCGUAAAGAGCUCGUAGGCGGUCUGUCGCGUCGGCUGUGAAAACCCGGAGCUCAACUCCGGGCCUGCAGUCGAUACGGGCAGACUGGAGUUCGGCAGGGGAGACUGGAAUUCCUGGUGUAGCGGUGAAAUGCGCAGAUAUCAGGAGGAACACCGGUGGCGAAGGCGGGUCUCUGGGCCGAUACUGACGCUGAGGAGCGAAAGCGUGUGGAGCGAACAGG